AGUCACACAGCUGCCUGGUAGGUGACUGGAGGCCUUGAUCGGUUCUCAUUGAGAUUUUGCUGCUGUGGCCCCAACCCUGCCUCCCUCCCCACCCUGCGAUGGCAGAAGAAACUCAACACAACAAAUUGGCUGCAGCCAAGAAGAAGGUAAAAACGCACUAGGUCAUAGCCCCUCAACCCAGCCACAGAACCCCUCUGAUGACAAGACCCCUGCCAGAGUCUAUACGACUCCUGAGGCACACUGGACUGGUCCCCCCAACCCCGGUGCCUUGGGCUACCCCCACCAAAGUUUUGUCAGUCAGCCCCACCCCUUCAGAAAGCAGCCCAGUCCUUGCCCUCGCCAAUCACCCCAGGGUGACUUUGGGUGGGUGACUCCUGGGGCUUCCCGCUCCAUUACUGGGCCCUCAUCUCCUGCCGCCCCAAGCUUGAUCUCCCUGGGCUCUUUGGGCUCUCAUCUCCAAGGAGCCAGGCCCCACCCUCGCCAGUCAUCCCUGGGUGACUUUGGGCUGGUGACUCCUGGGACUCCCUGCUGCAGACUGUGCCCUCCCCUCCUGCUGCCUCAAGGUCGACCUCCCUGGGUUCUUUGUGCUGGCGUCUCCAAGGAGCUGGGUCCCAACCCUGUGCUUCCCUCCCCCAUCGUGGAGCGGCGACUUGGACAUGGUGCUGACAUGGUCCCUCCCCCCCGACCAGGAGGAGUGGAAUGUUGUGAUGUCACAGCCCACCUAGUAACUGCCGUUACUGCAAGACUGGCCUUUGAUCUUAUGACCCAGUCCCCUAAGCGUUCUCACCCCGUUUCUGGUUCCUCUGGUCACAGCACAAAUUUCCAGCUGGAAGGGGAAUGGAGACUAUGGGACCUAGGAGCAAGAGGUUCCAGGCUGCCUCACUCCCUUACAGAUGUUGACGGUGGGAAAAGCCUACACUUCCCCCAUGAACUCAAAACAUUGACAGUAUCUCUGGGUGGCAAUGAGAGAAUGGGUUUGAUUUGGUUUUCUCCCAGGCUUCUACUUUCCAGAGAGAUUUUAACAUUUUUUUCUGAGUUCUCCACCUCAUAUUCUAAUUCUCCAUGGUUCUGGGACCAGACUCUCCUUCAGUCAGUGGUCUCUGAAGUGACAUUUGCUCAUCUUCUGUGAAAUAGAUCUUGGGAAACUGAACUUGACACCUUGAAUCUUCCUCAUAUUAUCUCAAGCUUGGGUACUUUGAGUGCCACAGGAUAAAUGUGGGGCAUCUUUCUGAAGCAUCAGUUUCCCUUGAUUCUCUUGAGAUCAAGAGAAAAAACAUGAAUGUACUUAGGGAUGACAGUCACAUAGGUUUCUAAGAGUAUACCAGACCUCUCUCUGAAAUGAGGCUUGGGUUGUCCUCUUUCUGAUGAAUUCUGAUUUCACAGAAA
rnacentral:sRNA from 1 species